UUGGUGGGCUUGCAUCGUUUACUGUGAAAAAAUUAGAGUGUUUAAAGCAGGCGUUUGCUCAUUUGAAUACAUUAGCAUGUAAUAGUAAGAUACGGCCUUGGUGGUCUAUUUUGUUGGUUUGCACACCAGGGUAAUGAUUAAUAGGGACAGUUGGGGGUAUUCAUAUUUCAGCGUCAGAAUGUUUCACAUCCUGGGCUCAGC
rfam:Phytophthora sojae unplaced genomic scaffold PHYSOscaffold_1, whole genome shotgun sequence.